AAACCAGCGGAUGCGAUAGUAA
rnacentral:snRNA from 1 species